GGUUUAGUGGCUUAGUGGUAGAGUGCUUGCCUAGUAUGCAUGAAGCCCUGGGUUCGAUUCCUCAGUACCA
rnacentral:tRNA from 1 species